UCCGCUUUGUGUGCGGCAGUCUCUCUAGAUUUGCAACUAGAGACAAGGGUUGCGCUCGUUGCGGGACUUAACCCAACAUCUCACGACACGAGCUGACGACAGCCAUGCAACAUCUGUGAUACCGUCCCUUGCGGGAGGACUCUCUUUCAAGAGUUUGCGAUACCAUGUCAAGCCCAGGUAAGGUUCUUCGCGUCGCAUCGAAUUUAACCACACGCUCCGCUGCUUGUGCGGGUCCCCGUCAAUUCCUUUGAGUUUUAAUCUUGCGACCGUACUCCCCAGGCGGGAUGCUUAAUGCGUUAGCUGCGCCACUGACCGGUAAACCGGCCAACGGCUAGCAUCCAUCGUUUACGGCGUGGACUAC
rnacentral:misc_RNA from 1 species